rnacentral:misc_RNA from 1 species
AUAUUUCAUUAGACGCCGUAUAUUUUAUUCACAAUUUCUUGUAAAUAUGUAUAUUCAUUGCUUAUAUUGUGACUUGUGUAUGUUAAUUUUGUUUUGUAUACCGGUUAAAUCAUGUGACUUUUUUUAUAAACAAAUAUUUUAAAUGAAUAGCUUUUUUCAAAUUAUAUAUUGUAUUGUCCAUUUACAAAAUGUUAAAGUCAGUAACCUCUCGAUUUUAAAACAUAUUUCUUAACCAUAAGUGUGCCUAGCAUUGAAGGUAUUUAGUACAUCCUUAUAUAUUAGCAUUUAUAAAAGUCUACAGUAUAUAAAAAUUUCAUUCCAUAAUUCUUUAUAUUCCAGAAAAUGUAUCUAUUUAUUAUAAGUCUAAACGCUUUUACACCAUACGACUCAGACUUUAAUAUUAUCCUUCCAUUGUGUAAAGACAGCUAUACAUACAAAUACAAUAAAUGAUUAUCAAUAAUU